GAAAGGGGGAAGAAGAUCAAGAGUAUAAUAAGAAGAUUCAAAGAAUUGACGGCAUGGAGAGAUAGUCCUUGUAGUUCCUGCCUAGAUGCUUUCUACAUGGAUCCGAAAGUGCAGCAACAACAUCUCAAUGUGUACUAAAGUUGUAUUCGGCAAGCCUCCAUACACAGGGAACAUCACCAAUGAUACUAAACAAGUUAAGCUGGGGUUUGGAAAGAGCACUGGGUAUUACUACAGGUUCACUUGUGAAAUUAUGAAGAACGAUUUUAAAUACGUGGAGUUAAAAGUGAAUGGAAAUAUUUUAUGUUCGUUUUUUUCCAGAUGUACUCAUUUUUUGUAUACUUUUCUCAGUAUAUAUUAGAUGUACUCAUUUUUUGUAUUUGAAGUUUUUCUCAUCGU